rnacentral:lncRNA from 1 species
UUCCUAUCAACUACUAACUGGUAAUAAUCUAGAAACAACUCUGUGAAGCCAACAAGACUGUGCCUGAGAGGAAAGCAGUGUUACAGAGAUAUCAUCAUCAAAAUGGCAACCAGUUCCAUGCACAGACAGAAACCACAAAAAACAGGAGUUGCCUACAAUUCCCUCCCACUUUCUGCCUGUUGACCAGCUCUGGCUUCAGCAUCUCUGAUCAAGGACUGAGGAAGGCCCGGCUGUGGCUUACAGCUGAGUCACACCUCUCCAGUAAAUCCUGAGGAGAGUAUGUCAAACCACCGGAAGACCUCAGUCAUGUGGAUUUUCCGGUUCACUCAUGGCAACAGGUACAGCUGGGGCCUGUUCAAAGGCUUGUGGUGGCUAUUCCCGUCUCAGUGCUAAAUCCGUCCGGGGUCCAGUGCCACCCCAAGGC